rnacentral:misc_RNA from 1 species
GUGAAUCAUCGAAUCUUUGAACGCAAAUUGCACUCUCUGGUAUUCCGGAGAGUAUGCCUGUUUGAGGGUCAGUUUAGAUAAAAAUCGGUGUGGUUGCUGCGUUUCGUGGUGACGCACCGGAUUUGGGUCGUCUUGCUUUCGGUUAAGUGACCUAAAAUUGUGAAUGAUUUUUUUCGAACGUAUUUAAAUGAUUUUUAGUACUUUUGCGAUUUGGAAUACUAGGUGUGGUCAUCCUUA